UACGUAGGCAGCAAGCGUUGUUCGGAGUUACUGGGCGUAAAGGUUGCGUAGGCUGCUUCUUAAGUCUGGUGUGAAAUCUCCCGGCUCAACUGGGAGGGUGCGCCGGAUACUGAGGGGCUAGAGUGUGGGAGAGGAAAGUGGAAUUCCUGGUGUAGCGGUGAAAUGCGUAGAUAUCAGGAGGAACACCGGUGGUGUAAACGGCUUUCUGGACCAUAACUGAAGCUGAGGCACGAAAGCGUGGGUAGCAAACAGG
rnacentral:rRNA from 1 species